UGCAAGCCCAGAGACAGUCUAUACCCCGACUCAACUGACUGGUCCUUAGUGCUGCCUGCUUCCGUGCCCAACUUAGAACUACACAUCUGCUGCCUCCUAGUAACAUGUCAUUAUAAGGCUUCUUCAUCAGCCCUAACCCUGGCAACCACUCCUGCCCCACUGAAUGUGCCAAUGGAUUGCUCAGCUCCAACUAAGGAAAAGAAGAAGGAAGUUGGAUACUUUGUACCCUCUAUAUUGUCCAUUAGCAACACAACCUAGAGUCUGAAGAUUGCCAUUUGAAAUGCUCUUUGAGGGACAUGAAGUCAACCCCGGAUCCAAAGUAGCUUUGAUGUUUGUCAGGAAAAUGCUGGAGUUCUAUAUACUACAGUUUUCACAGAGCAUGAAGAACUCCAACCUCAGAUAACCUGCAAAAAAAGUCAGAAA
rnacentral:lncRNA from 1 species